rnacentral:rRNA from 1 species
UUAGUCUCGGGCUACGCGUUAAGUCGACCGCCUGGGGAGUACGGCCGCAAGGUUAAAACUCAAAUGAAUUGACGGGGGCCCGCACAAGCGGUGGAGCAUGUGGUUUAAUUCGAUGCAACGCGAAGAACCUUACCUACUCUUGACAUCCAGAGAACUUACCAGAGAUGGUUUGGUGCCUUCGGGAACUCUGAGACAGGUGCUGCAUGGCUGUCGUCAGCUCGUGUUGUGAAAUGUUGGGUUAAGUCCCGCAACGAGCGCAACCCUUAUCCUUUGUUGCCAGCGGUUAGGCCGGGAACUCAAAGGAGACUGCCAGUGAUAAACUGGAGGAAGGUGGGGAUGACGUCAAGUCAUCAUGGCCCUUACGAGUAGGGCUACACACGUGCUACAAUGGCGCAUACAAAGAGAAGCGACCUCGCGAGAGCAAGCGGACCUCAUAAAAGUACGUCAA